CCACACUUGGAUGAAGUUGAUUUCAUGGUGCCCACCUCCUUCGACAUUUAUUAGGCACUUACCCAGACAUUGUUGGCAUUGGAUUUACAAGCCCCAACAUGUUCGCUAUCUUUCAUCGAGGUUCAAUGGGUUUCGAGCCAACGCAAAUGUUAGGAGCUUGUAGGCGCGAUGAAGUAGUACCAGAGGUGAGAUUACGGGUUACGAUCAUGGUGAUGGUGCGGAGGAGACUCGAGAAGAAUGACCAUAACUAGCUUCCGUUUAGUUUUUUACUUGUUUAAAAUUGGUUGUUAAGAGUUCUUAUUGAUUUAGUUUAUGUCCUCUGUUUUGAGCAUUGAUUUGUGUAAAGUUCAAGGAGUUAUUAGAAUGUUUUAGAAGACUUUUCUUUUAAGUUUGGACUCUUGUAAAGAUUGGGCUUUUGGUUUAGUUGAGAAGCUUAGGGAGUAUGUUUAACGUUAUUGGAUUUGCUAACUUGGAAAGGUUGAAGAAUUGAUUAA